UGGAAACCUUAUUCUAUUUACAUGUUGCAUA
rnacentral:piRNA from 1 species